rnacentral:rRNA from 1 species
CCUUGUACACACCGCCCGUCACACCAUGGAGUUGGUUUGACCUUAAGCUGGUGCGCCAACCGCAAGGGGCAGCCAACCACGGUCGGGUCAGCGACUGGGGUG